AUUGAACGCUGGCGGCAGGCUUAACACAUGCAAGUCGAGCGAGCGGCGGACGGGUGAGUAAUGUCUGGGAAACUGCCUGAUGGAGGGGGAUAACUACUGGAAACGGUAGCUAAUACCGCAUACCAUCAGAUGUGCCCAGAUGGGAUUAGCUUGUAGGUGGGGUAAUGGCUCACCUAGGCGACGAUCCCUAGCUGGUCUGAGAGGAUGACACGCGACAGUGGAACUGAGACACGGUCCAGACUCCUACGGGAGGCAGCAGUGGGGAAUAUUGCACAAGGGGCGCAAGCCGGAUGUAGCCAUGCCGCGUGUAGGAAGAAGGCCUUCGGGUUGUAAAGCACUUUCAGCGAGGAGGCGUUACCCGCAGAAGAAGCACCGGCUAACUCCGUGCCAGCAGCCGCGGUAAUAC
rnacentral:rRNA from 1 species